UACGAAGGGACCUAGCGUAGUUCGGAAUUACUGGGCUUAAAGAGUUCGUAGGUGGUUGAAAAGUUGGUGGUGAAAUCCCAGAGCUUAACUCUGGAACUGCCAUCAAAACUUUUCAGCUAGAGUAUGAUAGAGGAAAGCAGAAUUUCUAGUGUAGAGGUGAAAUUCGUAGAUAUUAGAAAGAAUACCAAUUGCGAAGGCAGCUUUCUGGAUCAUUACUGACACUGAGGAACGAAAGCAUGGGUAGCGAAGAGGAUUAGAUACCCUCGUAGUCCAUGCCGUAAACGAUGUGUGUUAGACGUUGGAAAUUUAUUUUCAGUGUCGCAGCGAAAGCGAUAAACACACCGCCUGGGGAGUACGACCGCAAGGUUAAAACUCAAAUGAAUUGACGGGGACCCGCACAAGUAGUGGAGCAUGUGACUUAAUUCGAAGAUACGCGCAGAACCUUACCAACACUUGACAUGUUCGUCGCGACUCUAAGAGAUUAGAGUUUUCGGUUCGGCCGGACGAAACACAGGUGCUGCAUGGCUGUCGUCAGCUCGUGUCGUGAGAUGUUGGGUUAAGUCCCGCAACGAGCGCAACCCUCACUUUUAGUUGCCAUCAUUAAGUUGGGCACUCUGAAAGAACUGCCAGUGAUAAGCUGGAGGAAGGUGGGGAUGACGUCAAGUCCUCAUGGCCCUUACGUGUUGGGCUACACACGUGCUACAAUGGUAUCUACAACAGGAAGCAAGACUGCGAAGUUAAGCAAAUCCCUAAAAGAUACCUCAGUUCGGAUUGCACUCUGCAACUCGAGUGCAUGAAGCUGGAAUUACUAGUAAUCGUGGAUCAGCGUGCCACGGUGAAUGCGUUCCCGGGUCU
rnacentral:rRNA from 1 species